rnacentral:rRNA from 1 species
CCUACGGGAGGCAGCAGUGGGGAAUAUUGCGCAAUGGGCGAAAGCCUGACGCAGCGACGCCGCGUGAGGGAUGAAGGUCUUCGGAUCGUAAACUUCUGUCAGCCGGGAAGAACGGUCACUGUGCUAAUCAGCAGUGAAUUGACGUUACCUGCAAAGGAAGCACCGGCUAACGCCGUGACAGCAGUCGCGGUAAUACGGGGGGUGCGAGCGUUAAUGGGAAUUACUGGGCGUAAAGCGGUGGUAGGCGGUAUGCCAAGUCAAGGUGGAAAUCCCCGCGCUCAAUGUGUGAACUGACUUUGAAACUGGCAAGCUGGAGUGUGGAAGAGGAGAGUGGAAU